UGCAAGUCGAGCGCUACCUUCGGGUGGAGCGGCGGACGGGUUAGUAACGCGUGGAAACGUACCCAGAUCUAAGGAAUAGCCACUGGAAACGGUGAGUAAUACCUUAUACGCCCUUCGGGGGAAAGAUUUAUCGGAUUUGGAUCGGCCCGCGUUAGAUUAGAUAGUUGGUGGGGUAAUGGCCUACCAAGUCUACGAUCUAUAGCUGGUUUUAGAGGAUGACCAGCAAUACUGGGACUGAGACACGGCCCAG
rnacentral:rRNA from 1 species